CUACAGAGAGGGACAAGCAUGUCUCUCUCUCUCUCCAAGACACCAUUCUUCAUUUUAUGACUCCUUGCCUCAUCCCACACCCAAAGAGAACCAAGUUAAGGCUGUGCGUACAAGCCAGCAUUUUGGAGCCUAUGUAACAGGCUUGUACAGUGUUUUUUUAGUGAAGGCUUGUUUUCUUCCACAAUUUGGUACCGUGACUCAGAUGGCAACGCCCGAUUGAAGACAGUGACAGUGGCUGCAGACCGUCCCCCUUCACCCUCAUGGCACCAAACGAGAGGUAAGAGACCUUUUGAAAUCUCUACUGGGGUGUGGAGGAGGACUGCCUGUAGGGUCGUCUGCUUCUUGUGGGCUCACGCCAUCUGAACUUCUUGAAUCUGCAACAAGGUCAGACGCAAAGCGGUUCCGGGGAGGUUGUUUUGUUACCCCCGAGUAGACCUAAGUUUAUGCAGUGCUGGGAACUGCUGUGGUUUUGGUGGUGCCGCCCCGGGAACGGGAAGAAAAUUGUAUUGCGUCAGGACAUAAAGCAGCUAGGUUCAUGCAGGGCUAGGAACUGCUGUGGUUCUGGGGGGAAACGUGUUGUUUGCCGCCUCUGGAGGGAACAGUGUUGUUUGCUGCCCCAAAUAUGGACAAGGUCCAUAAAGAGAGAUGUAUCUAAAAGUAGGAAAAUUUCUGUGUGAAAAGCAUGCUGAGUGUGAAUGUAAUGAGUGGAGUGUGAAUGCCGCUGCCCAGGUCUCUGAGAAGUAAACUGAUUCCAGCUGCACCAGGGCUCUCCCACGAGGGAGUUCUGAACGCAAAGGGGGUCAGCCGAACCUCGAUACUGAGCGGAUAUGUGACAGAGUGACGACUCCCCUUAUUUCAUGAGCUGCUGAUAAGGUCUGACACUCUAGACCCAGCAGACCCCUUCUUUAGAGUGUGUAGAUUUAGUUUACCAACUGUCCCUCAUAAAUAAGCCUGUAAUAUUGUACAUAUGAUUCUUUUCAGGAAAAUAAAAGCUUUUUGCUUGCUAGAACAGUAACUGACCAACCAACACCUUGUGCUAAGGAAAAGCAUUAUAGCUUCACACAUUAAGCCUAAUCUGUAGUACAAGAGGGAAUCUGAGGCAUGCUACUGUUAGGGAGGGCUAGCAGCUCAGAGGUAAUUCAAGGGAGUGGAAGGUCACAAGUACCGAUGAAGCGCCCUUGUUCUCGGAAAGUUGCAGCUCACUCGCCUAUGGAAGUGGUAAGGAACUAGCUGUAACCGGUUCCCCUAGCAGAUCUUAGGCAAUAUUUUAAGUUAUAAUGGGCCACCCCGACGGGGGUAGAAAUGUUUUCUUGUCUUUCAGAUCAUCAGAAAGUGCCGGUGCCAGCUGAAGAAAAACAACAAACAACAACAAAAAACCAUGGUUCUGUGUCAUGACAAAAAAGUUUGUGUUCUGUCCAAGUUUGUCUUGUGUGUCUUAAUUGUAAUACGUAUUGCAAAUAUUGUUGUGUGCAGGAUAUUGUUUUAAUGAAAUGAUCAUUUGAGUAAAGCAGAAGCAUUAAUUUAAACCAACAAAAUUAAUAAUUAGGCCCAAUCAAUUGGCAACUCUAAACUUAGUCAAUUAGCAACUUUAAAAUUCAGUGAAAGGAUAAUAGUUUAGCAAUUGUUUAGGCUAGGAGAAUGUUAACAAUGUCUCCACAGGUAAAGAAAAAAAGAACUGGAAAGAAGCAAGGAGUGCAUCACGUGAACAGAAGGACUGGGAGUGGGGUACCAGCCCUCUCCCCCACCAGAUUGGUUUUGCUUUAAUGGCUACACAAAUUAAAUAUUUAGCUUCUUCAGAUUUGCACACCAACCAUAAAAGUGGUUUAGCCAGAGAUAAUAAGAAA